rnacentral:rRNA from 1 species
AGUGAACGCUGGCGGUAGGCCUAACACAUGCAAGUCGAACGGCAGCACAGUAAGAGCUUGCUCUUACGGGUGGCGAGUGGCGGACGGGUGAGGAAUACAUCGGAAUCUACUUUUUCGUGGGGGAUAACGUAGGGAAACUUACGCUAAUACCGCAUACGACCUACGGGUGAAAGCAGGGGAUCUUCGGACCUUGCGCGAUUGAAUGAGCCGAUGUCGGAUUAGCUAGUUGGCGGGGUAAAGGCCCACCAAGGCGACGAUCCGUAGCUGGUCUGAGAGGAUGACCAGACACACUGGAACUGAGACACGGUCCAGACUCCUACGGGAGGCAGCAGUGGGGAAUAUUGGACAAUGGGCGCAAGCCUGAUCCAGCCAUACCGCGUGGGUGAAGAAGGCCUUCGGGUUGUAAAGCCCUUUUGUUGGGAAAGAAAAGCAGCAGGUUAAUACCCCGCUGUUCUGACGGUACCCAAAGAAUAAGCACCGGCUAACUUCGUG